CUCUAACAUUGGCCAUAACUAUUCAUUCAAAGUGCCAUCGGGGGCAUGUGUCAUCCUACGGAGACAGCUCUUGUUAUAACUUAUUUUCAUAAUAAAUAUUUAAAUGACUGCCUCUUCGACAUGAUACGCCAUGGUGAAGUGGUAAGCGUGACGGCUCUAGAAUCUAACUUGUGAGUUCGAAUUCCAACGGAGAUCAACAGGCUGGGCACAUCUCCCAAUCGGGGUAAAUUACCUCGUUCGGAGUAUAUUACCCCGAUCGGGGUAUAACAAGAACAAUAGAAAAGUACAAAAGUUUUGAUAACUUUUUUUAUUAAGGAAGUGCUAAUGCUCGUAUUCUCAGGUCAACUUCGUAUGAUAUAAACAGUUGACAAUAUGAUAAUUUUUUGGACAGAUUUUUGUUUAAAAAUUUCAGAUUUUCACCAUUUUUUAACAUAUGCAAAAUUGAUAAAAUGGUACAUAAGCAUAUUUGUUAUGACAAUAUAAAGCUGUAGUAAAAAUAUUUAUGUUAGCACUUUAAAGAAAAAAGAAAUAUAUAUAUAUUUGUGCCUUUCUAUUGUUCUAGUUGUACCCCGAACGAGGUAAUUUACCCCGAUUGGGAGAUGUGCCCAGCCUGAUCAAUACUUUUUCAUUUUAUUAUUUUUUCCAUUUUAUAUUUUGCAAACAUACAUUUUAAAAUGAUGAUAAUGUUUACAUGUAGAUUCUAUUUGAAUUGCUAUUUUUGCAUAUACUCAGUAACAUAUUUUUUUUCAAAUAUCUUCUUGAUUGUGAAUUAUUUAACAUGGUUGACUUAGCUCUUGACAAUUUGGUCAUUCAACAAGCUAUCGACACUGAUUCGGAGGAAACCAACGCUGCCAGCGAGUGUGAGGAUGUUCCAUUGGACCAGUGCUGAGUCGGAAACAGCAUAAGCAUUUUAUGGGAUUAACAAUGUAUAUAGACUAGCCACUAGACUGAUAAUAAAUAUAUUUCUACAUUAUUCCCCUUUUUGUCGAAUUCAAUUUCAUAGAGACAAAAGCCAGUCUAUUUUAGAGAUUUUCACAGGGGAAUGAUGUUAAGAUAUUGGACAUAAUGAUAUAGACUGACUCAGAUCACUAUAUUCAGUCAUAAAAAUGUAAAAGAAAUAUAUAGUCUAGGAGCUAGUCUACAGUGUGACUGUCAGGGGCUAAUUUAAUGCAUUAUUUUGACAAAAAUGAGUAAUGCUAAUGCUAAUUUAAUGCCGAUUUUUUCUAAGUAAUGCUAAUUUAAUGCAUUACAUUUGCAAGUAAUUAUUAACAACCCUGCAUAUAGGUGCGAUCGAUUUCCUCUCAAAUGAAAGCAUCUUCCACAUGUAAAACAAUUGUGUGAAAUUUAAGUUUACCUAUGAACCAUUUACAAUAUGCAAUGAAAAAGCGAAAUCCUAUAUAUUAACAAUUAAACAAUGAAACAAAAGUUCUGUAAAGGCCAAGAAGAUGAAAGCAUAAAACUUUACGGUGUCUCAAAUAUAUGCUAGAUGUAACCGAAUGUAAAUAACAAUGGCAAAACUGAAUGUAUUAACUGACAUGCAUUUGGAAAAAAAAAAUAACAUGGGAAGAGGAUAUUGAGGUGACUCUAGGAGCAACAAAAAGCUGCCGAAGAAAGGAGUCAUGAAUCCAAUAAAGCUUUUGCUCACUUAUCGUCUGUUGUUUUACUGCAUUUUUUUCCCCUCCUGAGCUGUCAACAUUUUUCUGCCCAGAAUCCGAGUAACAAAAAAUUGAAAAACUCUGGCCUUAUGUUAUCAAUUCAAAGGUAGUAAAGCUUUCGGCUCAUUCAGUUUAGACAUGUAUGACACUUUGUUAAUAGUUUGAGUAAAAUACUUGUGUCAUAAAAUUUUAAUGGUAGUCUUUCUAUAUAUAUCACUGUCUCAUUUUCUAUUUCCACUAUAAACCAAUUAAUCUUUUACAGACCUCUUAAACUAGAUCAAUGAGUAUGUGUGCUGUGCUGUGCUGUGCUGUGCUCUAAGAUAUUGUUAUGAAGUAAUGCACACUGAUGUUGUACAACUACAGGACUUUCAAUCUCAGUCAAGUUGAGGGGUCAGUUGCACGAAUGGUAACUGUAAUUCAAACUGGUCACUGGAAAAAGUGCCGCUGUGUGGGAAUCAAUUGUAGUUUCUCCGGACAAGAUGUUACAGCCAGUGUAUGAAGACUAAACUUUUUGUACGGUCACAGGUGCUCUUGCAAAGACUGAUGGCUUGGCAGCAUAAACUAUUCUAUGGUUAUAGGGGUAAUGUCUUUAAACAUAAGCAUGCUGUUGUGGAGUGAAAGUGCACAAACCAUUGAUAACCCUUUGGAGAAUCAGUACCAGGUGUGGCAAGAAGUUUGAAAUCAAAGUCACAAGAAGUUGUUUGAUGAUGGAAGUAUCUGUGAUCAUUUAGUAUUUCCAGUGGUUCAGAGGAACAGAUUACACUCAGUUAAAACUAAAUGUGAUAUUUAUCUUUGUGAAUGAAGAGGACUUAAUGAGGAUAAAAUGUUAAGAAGACGAACCUGAUGCAGCAACAAUUUUGUGACAGUAUCAGUGUAAUAUUUAACCAUGUACAACUGUUUUUCAUUAUAAAUGCAGUAAAAGGUAAUACAAUGUUAAAACUGCUUUACACUUUUUAUGCGAGGGAAUAUGUUGUAUAUGGUCACUAUAGAUGUUUUUCCAUUUGAUGAAAUGAUAUUGUGGGUGAACCGGUGAAGAAUAUAUUGACCAAAUCUGUCAUGUUGACCAUAAUGUUCCUUGCAACCUUUAUUGUACAAAAAGCAGAUUUGUUAUAGCACCAAAUAAUAGUGAGAUUGGAAGGCCAGUGUGCAAACCACUGAGCUAUCCGCCCACCACCAUUAGAUAUAUUAAGGCAAAAAUCGUCAUCUCGGCGCAAAAACUGUAUGCAUGUUUGUGCUUCUUUACUUCAAUGAGCCCACAUUUGGCGCUGAGGUGACAUUAUAAUUCCAAAAAAAAACAUAAUACCUCCUCAUCGGUAACACUACUUAUUUACGUUGCUUACAGUUAAGCAUGAUAAAAAAAUAUGGAAUAAAAAUCUUGAUAAAAUUUAUUGUACUUACGUUUUCCAAGUCUGAAUAAACCAUACCACAGAAGACUGUAUUCAUUA
rnacentral:lncRNA from 1 species